rnacentral:rRNA from 1 species
UGCAAGUCGAGCGGUAGAGAGAAGCUUGCUUCUCUUGAGAGCGGCGGACGGGUGAGUAAUGCCUAGGAAUCUGCCUGGUAGUGGGGGAUAACGUUCGGAAACGGACGCUAAUACCGCAUACGUCCUACGGGAGAAAGCAGGGGACCUUCGGGCCUUGCGCUAUCAGAUGAGCCUAGGUCGGAUUAGCUAGUUGGUGGGGUAAUGGCUCACCAAGGCGACGAUCCGUAACUGGUCUGAGAGGAUGAUCAGUCACACUGGAACUGAGACACGGUCCAGACUCCUACGGGAGGCAGCAGUGGGGAAUAUUGGACAAUGGGCGAAAGCCUGAUCCAGCCAUGCCGCGUGUGUGAAGAAGGUCUUCGGAUUGUAAAGCACUUUAAGUUGGGAGGAAGGGCCAUUACCUAAUACGUGAUGGUUUUGACGUUACCGACAGAAUAAGCACCGGCUAACUCUGUGCCAGCAGCCGCGGUAAUACAGAGGGUGCAAGCGUUAAUCGGAAUUACUGGGCGUAAAGCGCGCGUAGGUGGUUUGUUAAGUUGGAUGUGAAAUCCCCGGGCUCAACCUGGGAACUGCAUUCAAAACUGACUGACUAGAGUAUGGUAGAGGGUGGUGGAAUUUCCUGUGUAGCGGUGAAAUGCGUAGAUAUAGGAAGGAACACCAGUGGCGAAGGCGACCACCUGGACUGAUACUGACACUGAGGUGCGAAAGCGUGGGGAGCAAACAGGAUUAGAUACCCUGGUAGUCCACGCCGUAAACGAUGUCAACUAGCCGUUGGGAGCCUUGAGCUCUUAGUGGCGCAGCUAACGCAUUAAGUUGACCGCCUGGGGAGUACGGCCCGCAAGGUUAAAACUCAAAUGAAUUGACGGGGGGCCCGCACAAGCGGUGGGAGCAUGUGGUUUAAUUUCGAAGCAACGCGAAGAACCCUUACCAGGCCUUGACAUCCAAUGAAACUUUUCCAGAGAUGGAUGGGUGCCCUUCGGGAAACAUUGAG